UCUCCUUCAGCGCCGCCCACUUGCGCUGCGCGCCCUCCUUCACCGACAUCUUGCCGAACUGCAGGGCCGGAGGGAGGGGAGCGUGAGUCCUGAGCCCGACUCCGCGCCCCGGGUGCCCCACCGCUGGAGAGGCCAGGGCGGGUGCGGGCGGGGGUCCCCUGCCUCAGUAUCCCCACCCGCCCGCCGGGUUUGCCCUGCGGGGGCGGAGGGGGGGGAUGCUGCGGGCAGACCCUCGUCCCAUCUGAGCUGCCACCACCCGCGGGCUUCCUCCGUGCCAGGCGCUCCCGGCCACAGUGGCGGGGCUGACAGCAGCGCCACCCCCCACCCCCCGCCCCGCCCACCCUGUCGAGGCGGCUACACCGGCAGGAAUACCACUGACCCAGCGGUGAUGAUGGAACAAAAGUGGCGUCUCCGGGGCUCCCUUAUCUUGUCCCGGGGCACUUCCCCUGCCCCGUGGACAGGGUCAGAUAGGGACAGCGGGGCAAUUCCAGGCCUCAGGCGUGUGCCGGGGAAGGGGCUGACUUGAGGGUCCUGCCCGGUGCUCCCCCAAUCGCGGGCCCUCCCUGCGGGGAAGCAGCCGGCCAGGCCCUGGCUUCCGCGGCCCUGCGUUUGCCCACCAAUGUGGACGGAGCACCGGAUGUCCCCUCACACACACCUUUCCCCUAAAGAGGACGGGCUGUGCCUCCGCCCUCGCCACCCCCGGCAAGCCCCCCUCCUCCGGCCCCUCGGUGGUGACGCCGUCCCGGACGGCGGCCUCUGGGGACCGGCCUCAAAAGUCAGGGGCAGCCCAGGCUCUCCGCGACCAUGUAUGGCUCAGGUUUUAUAUUUAGAGCCUGAGAAGGACAGCACGGGGCUGCCGAGAGGGAGCCCGAGGACCAGAGCGCGGCAGUACCGUCACGCCUCGCGCCCGGGGAUGCCACAGCCCUCCAGCCCCCCGCCGCGCCCACCUGACAGGACAGGAACGGGGGAGGCACCCAGAGAAGCACGGUCACAUGCCCACCGCCCCCCCGUUGGAAAGGGCAGGGCUGAGUGAGACUGGACUCCAGUCCGAGGGGGGCUGGGAGAGGCUGGCCGUCCAGCCUGGCCUCGAUCUCAGGGCUGCGGGACCUGGACCAGCUCCUGAAUACACGGAUGGACGGCGGCCAGACACCGGGACAGAACUCGGACCCACAAACUGCAGCCACAGCCCAGGAGGAAGCCCGCUGUCUCCACAGCAGACCUGCCGGAAGUCGGACCUCGAUCUCUGACGCACAACCACCCUGGGACAGUGUCCCACAUGGCCGGGGCUGGAUGACGGCUUCCACAGUUUUUGUUGCCACGCCCACCUGAGGACCAACCAGAAAGCGGAGCGCACUCCCCAAGCGAUCACGCGGGCUGUCCCACUUCCCCAGGCCCCCAGCCCCUCCCCCGGGUGCCCCUGAGCCCCCCUUUUUCCUACAACGAAGCUUUCUAUACAUAGAAAACACUUUCACAUAUUAACAUAUACAUGCUACAGAGCCCAUGUAUGUACUACACGUAUACAUCGUAUACACAUAGAUAUUAUACGUACUACAUAGUGAUAAUUAACGCAUGUAUUCUAUACUAUGUACAUAGGCUGCACAUGUACGUUAAUGCACAUAAUAUUACACAUGCACAGUAAGCAUAUAUCGUGUAACGUGUAUGUACUACGUGAAUACCUCAUAUGUGUGCACAUGAUAUUACGCAUACAUGGCAACAAUUAUAUAUAAGAAGUAUAGAUGUGGGGCGCCUGGCUGGCUCAGUCAGAGGAGCCUCUGACUCUUGAUUUCAGUUAGGGUGGUGAGUUCGAGCUCCACAUUGUGUGUAGAAAUUACUUAAAUAAAUAAUUUUAAUAAUAAUAAAUAAUUAUACAAUAAAAAUUUUAAAUAAAAUAAUUUUUAAAAAUGAAUGCUUAAAAAAUAUCCACCGCACGCAUACAUUAUACACGUACGUCCACACUAACAGCGAACAUAUAUACAUGGAACUAAAAUACGAAGUGCUCCCACCCUCCCGCCUGCCUCGAGUCUGACAAACGCGAGUGGUGACCGACUCGCUGCCUGAAGCGGCUCAGAAUAAACAGCUCUUUCCCA